AACGCACCUUGCGCUCCUUGGUAUUCCGAGGAGCAUGCCUGUUUGAGUGUCAUGAAAUCAUCAACCUCUUCGUCUUUGUUGACGGCGUAGGCUUGGACUUGGGGACUUUGCUGGCCUUCUAGGUCGGCUUCCCUUGAAUGCAUUAGUCGGGCGCCCUCGCUCCGAGACGUGUGAUAAUUAUCAUUCACGGAUCGACGAGGGCUGUGCUGGGCUUCUAACCGUCGCUUCGGUGACAAUUCAUUCUUGACAAUCUGACCUCAAAUCAGGUAGGACUACCCGCUGAACUUAA
rnacentral:misc_RNA from 2 species